rnacentral:rRNA from 2 species
AUACCCUGGUAGUCCACGCUGUAAACGAUGUCGACUUGGAGGUUGUUCCCUUGAGGAGUGGCUUCCGGAGCUAACGCGUUAAGUCGACCGCCUGGGGAGUACGGCCGCAAGGUUAAAACUCAAAUGAAUUGACGGGGGCCCGCACAAGCGGUGGAGCAUGUGGUUUAAUUCGAUGCAACGCGAAGAACCUUACCUACUCUUGACAUCCAGAGAACUUAGCAGAGAUGCUUUGGUGCCUUCGGGAACUCUGAGACAGGUGCUGCAUGGCUGUCGUCAGCUCGUGUUGUGAAAUGUUGGGUUAAGUCCCGCAACGAGCGCAACCCUUAUCCUUUGUUGCCAGCGGUUCGGCCGGGAACUCAAAGGAGACUGCCAGUGAUAAACUGGAGGAAGGUGGGGAUGACGUCAAGUCAUCAUGGCCCUUACGAGUAGGGCUACACACGUGCUACAAUGGCAUAUACAAAGAGAAGCGACCUCGCGAGAGCAAGCGGACCUCAUAAAGUAUGUCGUAGUCCGGAUCGGAGUCUGCAACUCGACUCCGUGAAGUCGGAAUCGCUAGUAAUCGUGGAUCAGAAUGCCACGGUGAAUACGUUCCCGGGCCUUGUACACACCGCCCGUCACACCAUGGGAGUGGGUUGCAAAAGAAGUAGGUAGC